ensembl:lncRNA
UGCUGAUAAGGCCUGUUGGUAAAAAAAAAUCACAUUUUUAUUUUCCCACAGAAGAAGAAAUAGUGGUAUUUACCACCUGUGAAUUUUGUUGCACUUUACCAGUUUAUUUUAUGAGGCUCCUUUACAUCACUCCCAUAUUUCCCCAUAGGAUUCUGGGCUUAAUCAAACCAUUCCUUAAAGCCCAAGUAUUGGUCUGACUUUUAUUGUCACUGAAGCAUUCUCAGGGUUAAUAUUUGGUGACAGAAGCAGAAGAUGCCCCUAGCACUGCUCUCACUAUGCAGAAAUAGAACCAUGACAGAAUUUUUUUUCUCUUUUGUUACUUCUCAGGAGUAAUGAGACCUCUCCCAAUGACUCAGUGAUACUCUCCUCACCAGGUAUUUCAACAGGACCUGCCCUUACCAAAGAAGAGUUUUGCUGACAGCUUCCCAGCACUGCAGAGAUCCCUGACUUUCUGAGCCAUCUUGCCACUGCAAUUAAUGCCAGCUGAGGAUUAAAUAACUUCAGUGGGCUUCUGUUAACCUGUACUGCUCCAAGUUCUACACUGUGUGUGUGGUGCUCUGAUGGCUCUGCACAGACCUGGAGAGUUACAGAUUUCCAGCUUCCAUACUCCCACUGUUGGUACAGAAAAGCUUCAGGAAUCAAGCUGUCACUUUAGGUUUCCACAGCUGUUUAUAGAAGUGUAGCCAUGAGCCCCAGAGGUGGAGUUUGUCAUCCAAAGUCUGAAACAGAGGCGCAGCAGAGUACAGCAGUGCUCAGUGUACUUCCUGCAGCCAGAGAUGUCCACAAGCUCCAGGGAGCAGGGAUAAUACCAGAGCACACCUUGUCCAGGAAGCAGAAAUGCCCCCGUGGGAGCAAGAGGAACAGCCUGCUGCCUCUGGAAAGAGUGGAAAAGAAAGAGAACUGCUGUGUAAGGAAUUGUUGCUUGCAACGUAUUUUUCUGAGCAAUAAAAAUACCUUCAAGACAGCAGUACAAUUCUCUUUUUAGCCUUGACACCUCCAAAUCCUAAUACACGUGGCUGAGUUAGAUGGAAAGGUAUUAUUAGGUUUUUAUUAGAUUAUGAUGCAAACUCAGUCUGGCUAGGCUCAUCAGGCAGUAAAUCUAGUGUCAACAGCUGUGACCAAAUUCUGCUCCUGUACCUGUUACUGCUUGUGGUCAGUUUUCCUCUGGUUUUCUGUCAGUUGUGAGAAAGGCAUGCAUGUACCAGGGCAGGCUUCCAGUACAACCUGUAUUGACAGAGUAAUUGUGAUUGUGCUCCUAAAUGAAAUCAGGAAUAAUUCUAUUAAAAGAAGAAGAGUUAUUCUUCCUCACACAAUGCAGGAUUCCAAAAUUCAGGCCUUAAUCACACAAAUAGGACUUUUAUGAUACACCAUGGGUAUUAGACAUGGCUUUUACCAUCAGUGACUUCUUGUUUCAGCAAUAACCUUUUUUCAGCUCCUGUGUGGCAGCCACAUGUUGUGCUAAAGAAGUGAAUCAAACUCUGUUAGCCAGGGAGACCUGGAGAUCUGCUGUUGUCCUCCACAGAGACUGCACAAAAAUUGUCACUCUGAAAGCUGCCCUGGAUCCUGUGAACACAGCAAGAGCUGUUUCCAUUCCAGGCAGUGCCACAGUCCCACUUCAGGAAUGCCAAACUCACUUUAAUCCUGCUCUGACUGCUGCAGGAGCUCAGCAGUGAAGCAAAGGUACAGAUGGAAACCCAGGCCAAGCUCACAGAUGUCCUGUGGCAGAGGAGCUGCUGUGCACUCUGUAACACACAGAAUAGAUGCUGUGAUUUUAAAGGUUGCAAUACACCAAGACUUCCUCCAGAAAGAAUAAAAGCUCACCUGACAGGAUGGCA